GACGAACGCUGGCGGCGUGCCUAAUACAUGCAAGUAGAACGCUGAAGCGAGGAGCUUGCUCUUCUUGGGUGAGUUGCGAACGGGUGAGUAACGCGUAGGUAACCUGCCUGGUAGCGGGGGAUAACUAUUGGAAACGAUAGCUAAUACCGCAUAAAAUGGAUUAUCGCAUGAUAAUCCAUUGAAAGAUGCAAUUGCAUCACUACCAGAUGGACCUGCGUUGUAUUAGCUAGUUGGUGGGGUAACGGCUCACCAAGGCGACGAUACAUAGCCGACCUGAGAGGGUGAUCGGCCACACUGGGACUGAGACAAGGCCCAGACUUCUACGGGAGGCAGCAGUAGGGAAUCUUCGGCAAUGGACGGAAGUCUGACCGAGCAAAGCCGCGUGAGGGAAGAAGGGUUUCGGAUCGUAAAGCUCUGUUGUAAGAGAAGAACGAGUGUGAGAGUGGAAAGUGCACACUGUGACGGUAUCUAAUCAGAAAGGGACGGCUAACUACGUG
rnacentral:rRNA from 1 species